ACGCUGGCGGCGCACCUAAGACAUGCAAGUCGGACGGGAGGCUUCGGCCUCCAGUGGCGGACGGGUGAGUAACACGUGGGGGAUCUGCCCCGCGGUGGGGGAUACCACCGGGAAACCGGUGCUAAGACCGCAUACGCCGGGUGGCAUAGGGGCCAGCCGGGAAAUGCGCAAGCAGCCGGGGGAGGACCCUGCGGCGGAUUAGCUGGUUGGUGGGGUAGCGGCCCACCAAGGCUGUGAUCCGUAGCUGGUCUGAGAGGACGGCCAGCCACACCGGGACUGAGACACGGCCCGGACUCCUACGGGAGGCAGCAGUUAGGGAAUUUUCGCACUGGGCGCAAGCCUGACGAAGUGACGCCGCGUGCGGGAGGAAGGCCUUCGGGUCGUAAACCGCUUUUGCGGGGGACGAGACGGACGGUACCCCGCGAAUAAGCCCCGGCUAACUACGUGCCAGCAGCCGCGGUAAGACGUAGGGGGCGAGCGUUGUCCGGAAUCACUGGGCGUAAAGCGCGCGUAGGCGGCCGCACGCAUCCGCAGUGAAAGCCCGCGGCUCAACUGCGGGAGGUCUGGGGAGAUGGUGCGGCUGGAGGGCGGCAGAGGCAGACGGAAGUCCCGCAGGAGCGGUGAAAUGCGUAGAGAGCGGGAGGAACACCCGUGGCGAAGGCGGUCUGCUGGGCCGCGUCUGACGCUGAGGCGCGAAAGCUAGGGGAGCGAACGGAAUUAGAUACUCCGGUAGUCCUAGCCCUAAACGAUGGGUACCAGGUGUGGGGGGACUCGACCCCCUCCGCGCCGCCGCCAACGCGAUGAGUACCCCGCCUGGGGAGUACGGCCGCAAGGCUAAAACUCAAAGGAAUUGACGGGGGCCCGCACAAGCAGCGGAGCGUGUGGUUUAAUUCGACGCAACGCGCAGAACCUUACCGAGGCUGGACAUGCUCGUGACGGCCGGUGAAAGCCGGUCUCCCUUCGGGGCGCGGGCACAGGUGUUGCAUGGCUGUCGUCAGCUCGUGCCGUGAGGUGUUGGGUUCAGUCCCGCAACGAGCGCAACCCCCGGUGCCAGUUAGGCUGUCUGGCGCGACCGCCGGGAGCAACCCGGAGGAAGGCGGGGAUGACGUCAAGUCGGCACGGCCCUUACGCCUCGGGCGACACACACGCUACAAUGGCCGGGACAGCGGGCUGCGAAAGGGCAACCUGGAGCCAAUCCCUGCAAACCCGGUCUCAGUUCAGAUGGGGGGCUGCAACUCGCCCCCCUGAAGGCGGAGUUGCUAGUAACCGCCGGUCAGCACACGGCGGUGAAUAUGUUCCCGGGCCUUGUACACACCGCCCGUCACACCAUGGGAGCGUGGGGGGCCUGAAGCCGCUGGGCGAACCCUUCGGGGACGCCGGUGUCGAGGGUCAAUCACGUGACUGGGGUG
rnacentral:rRNA from 1 species